rnacentral:rRNA from 1 species
CCUACGGGAGGCAGCAGUGAGGAAUAUUGGUCAAUGGACGAGAGUCUGAACCAGCCAAGUAGCGUGAAGGAUGACUGCCCUAUGGGUUGUAAACUUCUUUUAUAAAGGAAUAAAACGAGGCACGUGUGCCUUUUUGCAUGUACUUUAUGAAUAAGGAUCGGCUAACUCCGUGCCAGCAGCCGCGGUAAUACGGAGGAUCCGAGCGUUAUCCGGAUUUAUUGGGGUUAAAGGGAGCGUAGAUGGGUUGUUAAGUCAGUUGUGAAAGGUUGCGGCUCAACCGUAAAAUUGCAAUUGAUACUGGCAGUCUUGAGUACAGUUGAGGGAAGCGGAAUUCGUGGUGUAGCGGUGAAAUGCUUAGAUAUCACGAAGAACCCCGAUUGCGAAGGCAGCUUACUAAACUGUGACUGACAUUGAUGCUCGAAAGUGUGGGUAUCAAACAGGAUUAGAUACCCUUGUAGUC